GACGAACGCUGGCGGCGUGCUUAACACAUGCAAGUCGAACGGAAAGGCCCCUUUUGCGGUGCUCUCGAGUCGCGCGGGUGUGUAUCACGCGAGUAACCUCCCCUCUGCUCCUGGGUAUCUUCCUGGAACUGUGGCUAAUACCGGGUAGGGAUCCUUUCUUCAUUGUGGUGGUUGGAAAGCUUCUGCGGUUUUGGAUGGGCUCACGGCCUAUCAGCUUGUUGGUGGGGUAGUGGCCUACCAAGGCGGUGACGGGUAGCCGGCCUGAGAGGGUGAACGGCCACAUUGGGACUGAGAUACGGCCCAGACUCCUACGGGAGGCAGCAGUGGGGAAUAUUGCACAAGGGGCGGAAGCCUGAUGCAGCAACGCCGCGGGCGGGAUGACGGCCUUCGGGUUGUAAACCGCUUUCAGCAGGGGCGAAGCUUGUGGUGACGGUACCUGGAGAAGAAGCACCGGCUAACUACGUG
rnacentral:rRNA from 1 species